rnacentral:rRNA from 1 species
AGUGAACGCUGGCGGUAGGCCUAACACAUGCAAGUCGAACGGCAGCACAGUAAGAGCUUGCUCUUACGGGUGGCGAGUGGCGGGCGGGUGAGGAAUACAUCGGAAUCUACUUUUUCGGGGGGGAUAACGUAGGGAAACUUACGCUAAUACCGCAUACGACCUACGGGUGAAAGCAGGGGAUCUUCGGACCUUGCGCGGUUGAAUGAGCCGAUGUCGGAUUAGCUAGUUGGCGGGGUAAAGGCCCACCAAGGCGACGAUCCGUAGCUGGACUGAGAGGAGGGUCGGCCACACUGGAACUGGGACACGGUCCAGACUCCUACGGGAGGCAGCAGUGGGGAAUAUUGGACAAUGGGCGCAAGCCUGAUCCAGCCAUACCGCGUGGGUGAAGAAGGCCUUCGGGUUGUAAAGCCCUUUUGUUGGGAAAGAAAAGCAGCAGGUUAAUACCCCGCUGUUCUGACGGUACCCAAAGAAUAAGCACCGGCUAACUUCGUG